GAUGAUUUAUUGUAAAAAUAUAAUAUUUAUGUAAUUUGUUUGAAUUAUUAUUAAGGAUGAUUGGCAUUUUAUUUUCAUAAGAUAAUAGAAAAUUUUCUUCAUGACAAAGCAUUGACGCAUGGACCAAUUAAUUAUACUUUUAAGGUAUCGUUUGGUUCGAGGAUAAGCAAAAAGUGACUAUUCCAGAGAUAGGUAUAAAUUGAGGUAUAAACGGGGAUUAGAUCAAUUUUGCGUUUGGAUAAAAAUUGGGUUAUUUCUGGGAAUAAAAAAAAUAGCGUUUGGUUAGGUAAGAUGGAAUAAAAAAGAUAGUAGAUUUUAUAAAUAAAAAAUAAUCAUAUUAUCCUCUUAUUAUAUUUAAAUUUAAAUUUUUAAAUUUUUAAAUAUAUAUUUUUAAAUUUAAAAUUUUAACUUUGAAAUUUUAAAUUUUGAAAUUUAAAAUCUCAAAUUUUAAAUUCAAAAUUUUAAAUUUUAAAUUUCAAACUUUAAAUUUAAGAUCAAAUUUAAAUUUGAAAAAUAUAAAAUAUCAAAUUUUAAAUUUCAAAUUAAAAUAUCAAAACUUAAAUAUAAAAUUUAAAAUUUAAAAUUAUAAACUUUAAUUUUGAGAUUAUAAAUUAUAAAUUUUAAAAAUUUAAAUUUUUAAUUUUUAAUUUUUUCAAAUAAGAAUAGGGGUGGAAACAAUUAAUAAAAAUAAUUUAUUAUAAUAAAUGUAUAAAUUUUUUUAAAAUUCUACUUAAACUUAAAUUUAAUAAAAAGAAUUUAUUAUAAUAUUUAAAUAUAAUUUACUAUAAAUUUUAUUAUAAUAUUUAAAUAUAAAUAAUAAUUAUUAAUAUAGUACAAUUAAUAAUUUUAUAAUAAAAAUAAUGUAUUAUAAUAUAUAAAUUUUAAAAAAUUAAAUUUUUAAUUUUUAAAUUUUUAAAAUAAGAAUAGGGGUGGGAACAAUUAAUAAAAACUAUUUAUUAUAAUAAAUUUAUAAAUUUUUUAAAAAUUCUACUUAAACUUAAAUUUAAUAAAAAGAAUUUAUUAUAAUAUUUAAAUAUAAUUUAUUAUAAAUUUUAUUAUAAUAUUUAAAUAUAAAUAAUAUGUAUUAAUAUAGUACAAUUAAUAAUUUUAUAAUAAAAAUAAUGUAUUAUAAUAUAUAACAUAUUAUAUUUAUAUAAUUUAGUUUUAAUUCAAUUUAUAAUUUUAAUUAAGUUUGAAAUUAAGCAUUGGAAUAGUGUUAUUCCACCAAAAUGGUGGAAUAGCAAAUCUCUAUUCCGGGAUAACCGGGAAUAGCAAGGUUUGACCGGGAUAAAAUAUCCCGGCCAAAUUUCACCCCGUUUGGCGGAAUAGUGGGGAUAACUUUUGUUAUCCCCGCUUAUCCCCCCAACCAAACGGGGCC
rnacentral:lncRNA from 1 species